GACGAACGCUGGCGGCGUGCUUAACACAUGCAAGUCGGGCGGUAAGGCCUCUUCGGGGGUACACGAGCGGCGCACGGGUGAGUAACACGGGGGUGACCUGCCCUCAGCUCUGGGUUAAGCCUGGGAAACUGGGUCUAAUACCGGAUAUGACCUUUCCUCGCAUGGGGUUUGGGGGAAAGUUUUUUCGGCUGGGGAUGGGCCCGCGGCCUAUCAGCUUGUUGGUGGGGUGAUGGCCUACCAAGGCGACGACGGGUAGCCGGCCUGAGAGGGCGACCGGCCACACUGGGACUGAGACACGGCCCAGACUCCUACGGGAGGCAGCAGUGGGGAAUAUUGCGCAAUGGGCGGAAGCCUGACGCAGCGACGCCGCGUGGGGGAUGACGGCCUUCGGGUUGUAAACCUCUUUCGACCCCGACGAAUUUGGACGGUAGGGGUAGAAGAAGCACCGGCCAACUACGUG
rnacentral:rRNA from 1 species